CCCAGCGCUGAAGCGCUGGGCUAUUUUCGGACGCCCCUCCGGGGCU
rnacentral:sRNA from 1 species